CUGCAGCCCGACUUGAGCGGAAAUCCUUUUUUUGGGAUGGAUUAGCCAAGGCAAAAAAGAUUGGGAGCGGAAGGCAUAAAUGAGA
rnacentral:sRNA from 1 species